CGUUCUUAGCAUAUUUAUUGCGGGGUUAACCUUGAAUAAUUAAGGGAUGGCCUCAUUUAAUCUCCAGUAGCAAUUUUGACCUAUUCAUGGGAGGAGUUAUGCGUCUGGAUCGUCUUAC
rnacentral:sRNA from 1 species